AGCAGCCGCGGUAAUUCCAGCUCCAAUAGCGUAUAUUAAAGUUGUUGCAGUUAAAAAGCUCGUAGUUGAAUUUCGGGGUUAGUAGGUUGGUCGUGCCACUGGUACGUACUGGUCUCACUGAUUCCUCCUUCCUGAUGAACUGUAAUGCCAUUAAUUUGGUGUUGCAGGGAAACUGGACUGUUACUUUGAAAAAAUUUAGAGUGUUUAAAGCAAGCUAACGCUUGAAUACAUUAGCAUGGAAUAAUGAAAUAGGACGUUCGAUCCUAUUUUGUUGGUUUCUAGGAUUGACGUAAUGAUUAAUAGGGAUAGUUGGGGGCAUUAGUAUUCAAUUGUCAGAGGUGAAAUUCUUGGAUUUAUUGAAGACUAACUACUGCGAAAGCAUUUGCCAAGGAUGUUUUUCAUUAAUCAAGAACGAAAGUUAGGGGAUCGAAGACGAUCAGAUACCGUCGUAGUCUUAACCAUAAACUAUGCCGACUAGGGAUCGGAUGAUGUUAAUUUUUUUAAUGACUCAUUCGGCGCC
rnacentral:rRNA from 1 species